rnacentral:lncRNA from 1 species
AGGCCGCCAAAAAUCCAUCACUAUUCUUCAAUUCCUUCUCUCGUUUUACAGUGCACGAUCUAUCUGGACUUAUCUCUCAAGUCUUGAGGUACUUUAUUUUGUUUUAUUUUCCUCGGUAUGUUUUUAGGGGUUUCUUAUCUACACAUUUUUUAGGGGUAAAGAUAAUCUUCUCAUGAAAUUAUAUUUCGUAGGGUUGUAAGGCACCAAAGUGGCCAAAAGAAUGAUGCUUUACCAUUAGUUAGUUAAAGUUAAUUGCAUAUUGAAAGUCACGAUAAUCAGAAAAAAAUAAGCCCUAGUUCUUUUUUUCUGUAUCUUGUUUUUUUUAGAUGUGGAUUGAGUAAGUAGCCUGUUUGUUUUUCCAUCCUUCAUUAAAGUAUUUAUUGGGAUCUUCUUAACUCUCCUUGGUUUUAAAUUUAUUGAAGGUUCCUUUGGGAGUCUGACGCUGAGGAAGCUUUGUAAGUUUGGGCUUGUAAGGGAACUCUUGUUUUGGUUGGUUUAUAUAAGGUAAGAAAGGCGGGCUAAAUUUUUUAAAUUAUAUUGCUUGCUAUUGUGUGUUUUGUUUGUGGAGGACAAGUAUAAGUGAAAAAAGUGUAUUUCUUUAGCUGAUUGAAGCUGAGAACCCUUGACAACUUGUUAAAAAUAUAAACUGUACACGUUAGUGAUGAAUCAAGAUUAUUGCUUCUCAAACAAAUGGAAAAGGAAUGCCUUAGGAACUGUUUGCACCUUUUUUCCUGCAUGACAUGCAUGAUGCAAUUGUUAAUGCUUGACAACGUCCAUCCAAGAAUGAAUUUGAUGUUCUACCCAAAAUUAAUUCUCAGCUUGGGUUUGACAUAAUGGGUGGACUUUUUACGAGUAGCUAUUGAUAUAUAGUAUACCAGCUUUAGCAUGUUCCAUUGUGUACAAGAUAGCAUAAUACCCUGAGAGAGCAGAUUAGUAAAUGAGUUAUGUAGCUGAUCACAAAUCUUUGGGGCUUGAGGCUGUUUCACUGUAGUUAAUGCAAUAUGCCUGUUGCUUUUGAUUUAUGCUAGAAUAUUACAUUAUUACUUGUUUGGUGGUGACUAGGAAAUUAUAUAGAAAGUUAGAUAAAUAGAAUGGUAUCAAGUCUUUUGUUUGAUUAGUAGAAUGGUCCUAAUUUAGCACCAUAGUAGCGAUCAACUCUCAAAAGCAUGGAGGCAUGUGAGGAAGAUAUCAUAAUUUUUUAAUAUUAAAAUGGAGAAAUUACUAACAUAUUAUCUGCUCGAGCUUCAUUUGCAAUGUCUAGAUUCAUGUUUUUAGAAUAAUAUCCAACCAGGGGUUAGGAGCGUGGAGGAAGUUGAACCAGAACUUAUUUACAUUCUCUUUUAGAGAAUGGAGGCUUUAUUAAUAUAUUAUAUUUUCGAGCUUUAGCUUGAAUGUCAAUUUUCGGCUUCUUUCUACCUUCUACAGUACUUUAGGUUAUGUUAUUGUAUUGCCAUAUCCUCGUAAUCAACUUAUUUACAUUUACUCUUUUAGGGAAUGGAGGCUUUAUUAGCAUAUUAUAUUUUCGAGCUUUAGCUUGAAUGUCACUUUUCGGCUUCUUUCUACCUUCUACGGUACUUUAGGUUAUGUUUUUGGAUUGCCAUAUCCUCAUAAUUAACUUGGAACGGUAUUUUCAUCAAUAAAAUUGGAGAGAAUAAGAUUUUUAGUUUUCUAGAUUAAGAGGGAGAAAAAGGAGGGUGCUUUGAAAACUUAUAAAGUAUUAGGGCUCAAGUGAUUUACUGAAGAGACAAUGGCUUGCCGCUCUUUGAAGUCUUGGAAGGUAAUUAUUUUGUUAUUGGAAGAGGAUGGGGAUUAGUUAGUGACAAGACCGAGAGAUAUCUAAGUGAGAAUGCUGACUUGAGUUAUGGGAGAUCCUCUGAAAAACAUGAGGCCUUCCAGUGGGAUGUUUUAUAUGUUCCCUUAAUCUGCACAGAUAUAAUUGGCUUCAGAGAGGUUUCUAAUAAAAGAAAUUUCAUUCUCUGGUCUUAUUCCUUAUGCAGUCUAUACUCCAAUAUAAUGCGCAUCUCAAACAAUGCAAUUAAAAGCUGCAUGCUAUAGAUCAGAGCAUAGCAUUAGGAGAGGAGGAAACAAUUUACUUUUAAAGAUUUUAAUUGGAUUGUUUUAGCUAUCUUAGUUUUCUUCUCUUCAAGGGUCUUACUCUUCAGUUUAUUUGUUUGUCAUUGCUAUAAAUCUGUUUGAUUUUAAUUAAUUUUUUUUCUUUUCCUUCUCAUAUUAUUGGCUUUUAUCUCAUUGCAAAUUUCUUAAUUUUUAUCUAAAGGGGGUGUAAUAUCCUUUUGUUAGUUUAUUAGUUGUUUUUCUUGGUGGGAACUUUGUGAUGGAAGAACUAACAUUGAUUCCUUCUCUUCUUUGAG